AUGAGACUUUGGCUCCAUUUAGGUUUCCUUGUAGCAGCUUUGGAAGGUGUCCGGUCCCAGGUGCAGCUGGUGGAGUCCGGAGGGGAUGUGAAAAAGCCCGGAGACUCUCUCCGCCUCUCCUGCAAAGCCUCCGGGUUCACCUUCAGCAGCUACGCUAUGAUCUGGGUCCGACAGGCUCCCGGGAAGGGGCUGGAGUGGGUCUCAAACAUUAAUUAUGAUGGGAGCCAAAAAUAUUACGCAGACUCAGUGAAAGGGCGAUUCAUCAUCUCCAGGGACAAUUCCAACAACCUGCUGUACCUGCAAAUGACCGGCCUGAGACUCGAGGACACGGCCCUGUAUUACUGCGCUAGAUGCACAGUGGAAUGA